rnacentral:rRNA from 1 species
AUGGAGGCUGGUGGUGAAUUCAGAAUCUCUGUGUGCCAGAGUGAUCAAGGCAAAAUAUUAUCCACAGGGGCAUAUUUUAGACACAGCUUUCCUGCAGUCGGCUUCUCUCACAUGGCAAGAGAUAAUUGGCUUCCUAGAGCCUCUGGACUUAAAAUCACUGCUAAGAAGAAUAGAACUAGAGUUAAAUGGGUUGAGGAAUUGUUCAUGAGUGGAGAAAGGAGAUGGGAUGAGGAGCUGGUUAGGCAUUUAUUUUACCCUUAUGAUGCGGAUGAGAUUUUGAGGUUGCGGAUCCAAUCAAAUGGGGAGGCAGAUUAUGUUGCUUGGCAUUAUGAAAAGUCAGGGUUGUUCUCAGUUAGGAGUGCGUACAAGUUAGCGCUCACCCUUAAGGAUAAAAAAGAGGAUGAGGGGCAAUCCAGGACGGAGAGGAAAAUUUGGAAUAUUAUUUGGAAGGCAAACAUUCCUCAGAAGAUUCAUAUUUUUGCAUGGAGGGUUGCUUCCAAUAGCUUGGCCGUACAGGAUGAAAAUACCUUCCAUGCGCUUGUCUUGUGCCCGAAGGCGCGUGCACUUCGCAUGCCCAUGAGGAACAUUCGGGCUCUACCUGAUGAGGAGGUUUUCAGAUAUACGAGUUAUUGGGCGUCCUUUGGUGCAUAUCAUUCUCCGAUGCCAGUGGAUUUUCAUAAUAAAGGAAAAGGUCUGUUGGGCCGGAUUAGCGGAGUUCCUAAUUCUCUGGACAUGAGUAGUGGCUGGUCCCCACCUCCUGCAGGUUGGUUCAAGAUUAAUGUUGAUGCUAGCUUCAUGGAGUCCAUUAGAGAAGCCAGUGUGGGGGUGGUAGUCAGGGACGAGGAAGGGGAAGUUAUUGUUUCGUCGUGGGAUUUCAUUGGUGCCUGUCAAAGCGUGGAGGAAGCGGAGCUUAGGGCUUGCAUUGCCGGUCUCUACAUAGCGUCUCAUGCAUCGGGGGACUAUGACAUAGGUCAGCUAUGCGUGACUUGA